CUUCGGAGCCUUUGCACAGGUGCUGCAUGGCUGUCGUCAGCUCGUGCCGUGAGGUGUUGGGUUAAGUCCCGCAACGAGCGCCAACCUUAUCGUUAUUUGCCAACACGUAAUGGUGGGAACUCUAACGAGACUGCCGUGGGUUAACCAGGAGGAAGGUGAGGAUGACGUCAAGUCCGCAUGGCCCUUAUGUCUGGGGCUACACACGUGCUACAAUGGUCGGUACAGAAGGCAGCGAAGCCGCGAGGUGGAGCAAAUACCCAAAAAGCCGAUCUCAGUUCAGAUUGUAGUCUGCAACUCGACUACAUGAAGACGGAAUUGCUAGUAAUGGCGAGUCAGCAACAUCGCCGUGAAUACGUUCCCGGGUCUU
rnacentral:rRNA from 1 species